rnacentral:tRNA from 1 species
GGUAAAAUGGCUGAGAGUUUAGGCGAUAAAUUGUAAAUUUAUUAACGGAGUUAAUCCUUUUAUCA